rnacentral:rRNA from 1 species
AUUGAACGCUGGCGGCAUGCCUUACACAUGCAAGUCGAACGGCAGCACGGGUGCUUGCACCUGGUGGCGAGUGGCGAACGGGUGAGUAAUACAUCGGAACAUGUCCUUUAGUGGGGGAUAGCCCGGCGAAAGCCGGAUUAAUACUGCAUACGAUCCACGGAUGAAAGCGGGGGACCUUCGGGCCUCGCGCUAUGGGGUUGGCCGAUGGCUGAUUAGCUAGUUGGUGGGGUAAAGGCCUACCAAGGCGACGAUCAGUAGCUGGUCUGAGAGGACGACCAGCCACACUGGGACUGAGACACGGCCCAGACUCCUACGGGAGGCAGCAGUGGGGAAUUUUGGACAAUGGGCGAAAGCCUGAUCCAGCAAUGCCGCGUGUGUGAAGAAGGCCUUCGGGUUGUAAAGCACUUUUGUCCGGAAAGAAAUGCUUGACUCUAAUACAGUCGGGGGAUGACGGUACCGGAAGAAUAAGCACCGGCUAACUACGUG